UCAAAAAGCUCGAAAAUAAAAAAUAAAAUUAUAAUAAAAAAGCUUCAUUAUUAAUUUGUUUCAAGUCUUCCUAAUUCUAACCCUUCAGUUGCACCUGAUUUACAUGCAUUAGGAAUACCAUGGAUACAUCUUAGUUAACAAACAAAAUGACCAUUAUUAACCUUGGUAUUAGAAUAGGGAACUCGCGGGCUAAUCUAACUCAUGAUGGAUUCAGGUCUGAUUGAGUUUAAAAAAAUUAUAUUUUUUAGGUGUUGCUCCCUCUAUCUUUCCAAAUGUUUUUCCAUCUCUCCACUAUUUUCAUUUAUUUCAAAAAUAUUUUGCACAUCUCCACUAUUUUUUUUUAUUCUAAAAAUAUCCUACAACUCUCCACUUUCCUUAAUAAUCUUUCUCUUU
rnacentral:lncRNA from 1 species